CAUUCCAGAAGACGCUACAGUACUGAUCGGAAGGAAGGUCACGCAAGUAAACAGAUAAGUCGGCAGCCAUAUUGGAUUUGUGAAAAUUUUGUUUUAUUUGCACGGUUUAAUGUACCUUAAAUCGUUUUAAACCAACGUUAUUUUACAUCGUUCAUGAUGGGACAUAAACAGGAUGAUAGAAGUGCAAUACAACAGAGGAACUGUGAUUUUCACGUAGUUUUUAGAAAAUUAAUAAGUAAAGCGGAAAGGAAGAAAAAAAUCGCGAGAAACUAUCAUGUUUAUGCUUUGUUACAAUCAACAAUAGUUAAGUUACGUGUUGAUGACCAUUUGUUGAAGGUUCAUAAGAUAAAUGAAAAGCAAAUUAUUGCUAAAAUUAGAAACGUUGACGAGAAUGGUGACAUGAAUGGUUCAAAAUCAAACGUGCUUUCAAAGACGAAGUCUUCGGAUCCAAUGCAUCUGGAUGAGUUUUUCGAUAAGUUGAAAUCAGUUGAUUCUCGAAGUUGAUCUCAUUUUAUUAUGUUUGGUUCGAUUGUGUUCAUUUGUGAAUUUCUGUGAUAUUUUGUUGUUUUGUAUUGAUAGCUCUCAGGGUUUUGUCCUCUUCUUGGGUUUGAGCUGUGGAUGUCUUGUUCACUUCUGCCCAGAAGAUGGUGUGACUUCAUUGAUGAUGAGAAUGCCUGGUUAGCAUUACCAAACAGCAGAAAUGCAUAUGUCAGUUCGAGGAGUGGUCUGGUGCGAAAAGGCUAGACAGAUUCCUUAAACACGAGGUUGUAACACUACAAAAACAAGAGUUCAACAUUAUAGAAGAUAUAAAUUAAGCUUAUGUUAAGUGCAACUGUAUUAACUUGUUCAAUCAAAUAUUCUGUUGUUUGAGUACAAAAAUGAAUAAAUAAGGAAGAUACUGUUUGGGAAAACCGGGUGGGAAAGAAACUGUUUUCAAGUUUCCUUUCAGCAAUUUUCCCCCUUGGAUCAGGUCGAAAGCCCAAGCCAUCAAGUAAAUAUGAUGAUGGCCAGUCCAGAAAUCCAAAUUUCAAGGUUGACAUCCAAUGAAUAAAUUGCAGACGCAGAACAUUUAAGUUCAGUCAGUUCAACAUUCGCUUUAAACAGCUAAAAGAAGCAGCACCAAGUAAAUGAUGUAAUUGUAAAACAAUAUAAUUUCAAGCUUGCAUUAGACAUAAUAAAAUCGUAUAAUGAAAGUAAAUGAUCAACACGUGUACACUUAAGUAUGUUAUGAUGGUUAUAAUAAGGUCAUCAUUUGUUGCGUGGAAUGUGUGUGAGGAUUCUUUUCAGUCAUUUGUCAUCACAUGAGAGUUGGUAGAUGCUAAUCAUCCAUGAAAUAAGGGGUAUGGUGCUGAAGAAAGGCAAGUUAGGUCGCCACGUGUACAGUUGAGUAGCCACCCAAUGAAUACAAGUCCAUUGAUGGGUCAGCUGGUAACAAAUAUAGUGUCUUAUUGUUGUGAUAUUUGUUUUCUUUUUUUUACAAAAACACAAAUUAAUGAAAUAUUUGGAUUAUUUGUUAAUAGCUUUUUUAAAAUUGAUUUUUUUUUCCAUUUUGAAUGGGGCAAUUGGGGUGGGGAUGGAUUUUCUGUGAUUCUUUUACAGUUUACAGGGAUAUGCCCCGAUACUGAAAGAUGUAGGUUUUCGCCUCCAAAUAGGUUGCUGCUAAGCCAUGUACCGAACUUGACCCAAGCCUCUGAAAUCAGGUGCCCCGUAGGAAAGGUUGCGUCCCAGAAAGAAAUGCGGAAGUCAGUCACAAGCUUUUGAUUUCCAGUUUAAACCAGUCUGCCUAAAGUUUGACUCUUGUCAUGGUUGUGAGUUUAAUGAAUGAAGAUUUUCCAGUAAAUGUGAUCAAGGAUAUUGUAAACUACUAAGCAAUGCAUUUGCAUUUGGUUAACAGAAGCAAAAUAUCGUUUGGGAUAACCCGGGUGGAAAAGAAACUUCUCAAGUUUCCUUUCAGCAAUUUUCCCCAUUGGAUCAUGUCGGAAGCCCAAGCCCUCAAGUAAAUAUGUCACUGCCAGUCCAGAAAUGUCGAUUUCCAGGUUGACCUCGCGGAACGUAAAGUCAGUCACGUUUGCUUCAGUUCUUAAAACCCAAAGAAACUACUCGAUACUCGACCAAGUAAAUCAUGUUUUAGAAAGAAAGGUAUCGUUUCAAGUCUACUAUAGGCAUCAUCACAAUCUUGCUAUAUACAAAGAAAAUGAAGAAAACCUAUGUACAACUAGAUAGGUAAUGCUAGUAGUUAUAAUAAGGUCAUCAUUUGUCGCCUGUAAUGUGUGGGAGGAUUCUUUUCAGUCAUUUGUCGCCACAUAAAAGGGUUGGUAGAUGCUAAUCAUCCAUGAAAUAAGGGGUAUGGUGCUGAAGAAAGGCAAGUUAGGUCGCCACGUGUACAGUUGAGUAGCCGCCCAACGCCUACAAGUCCAUUGACGGGUCAGCUGGUAACAAUCAAAUGUAGUGUGUUAUAGUUGUCAUCUUAUUUUUUUUUACCAAAACCCAAAUUGAUGAAAUAUUUGGAUAACUUGUUGAAAGCUUUUUAAUAGCAUUAACAAUAUCUUUGUUUUGAAUGGGGCAAUUGGGGUGGGGAUGGACUUUGUGUGAUUCUUUUCCAGAUUACAGGGAUAGGCCAUAUUUCCGAACGAUGUAGGUUUCGUCUCCAAUUAGGAUGCUAAGCCAUGUACCGAACUUGACCCAAGCCUCUGAAAUAAGGUGCCCCAUAGGAAAGGUUGCGUCCCAGAAAGAAAUGCGAGUCAGUCACAUGCUGUUGAUUUCCAGUUUAAACCAGUCUGCCUAAAGUUUGACUCUUGUCAAGGUUGUGAGUUUAAUGAAUGAAGAUUUUCCAAUAAAUGUGAUCAAGGAUAUUCUGAACUACUAAGCAAUGCAUUUGCAUUUGGUUAACAGAAGCGAAAUAUCGUUUGGGAUAAACUGGGUGGGGAAAGAAACUCUUCUCAAGUUUCCUUUCAGCAAUUUACCCCAUUGGAUCAAGUCAGAAGCCCAAGCCCUCAAGUAAAUAUGUCGCUGCCAGUGCAGAAAUGUUGAUUUCCAGGUUGACCUCGCGGAACGUAAAGUCAGUCACGUUUGCUUCAGUUCUUAAAACCCAAAGAAACUACUCGAUACUCGACCAAGUAAAUCAUGUUUUAGAAAGAAAGGUAUCGUUUCAAGUCUACUAUAGGCAUCAUCACAAUCUUGCUAUAUACAAAGAAAAUGAAGAAAACCUAUGUACAACUAGAUAGGUAAUGCUAGAAGUUAAAAUAUGGUCAUUUGUCGCCUGGAAUGUGUGGGAGUAUUCUUUUCAGUCAUUUGUCGCCACAUAAAAGAGUUGGUAGAUGCUAAUCAUCCAUGAAAUAAGGGGUAUGGUGCUGAAGAAAGGCAAGUUAGGUCGCCACGUGUAGAGUUUGAGUAGCUGCCCAACGCCUACAAGUCCAUUGACGGGUCAGCUGGUAACAAUCAAAUGUAGUGUGUUAUAGUUGUCAUAUUUGUUUUCUUAUAAUUUUUUUACAAAAACACAAAUUGAUGAAAUAUUUGGAAUACUUAUUGAUAGCUUUUUAAUAGCAUUAACACUAUUUCCUUUGUUUUGAAUGGGGCAAUUGGGGUGGGGAUGGACUUUGUGUGAUUCUUUUCCAGAUUACAGGGAUAGGCCAUAUUUCCAAACGAUGUAGGUUUCGUCUCCAAUUAGGUCGUCGCUAAGCCAUGUACCGAACUUGACCCAAGCCUCUGAAAUAAGGUGCCCCAUAGGAAAGGUUGCGUCCCAGAAAGAAAUGCGAGUCAGUCACAUGCUGUUGAUUUCCAGUUUAAACCAGUCUGCCUAAAGUUUGACUCUUGUCAAGGUUGUGAGUUUAAUGAAUGAAGAUUUUCCAAUAAAUGUGAUCAAGGAUAUUCUGAACUACUAAGCAAUGCAUUUGCAUUUGGUUAACAGAAGCGAAAUAUCGUUUGGGAUAAACUGGGUGGGGAAAGAAACUCUUCUCAAGUUUCCUUUCAGCAAUUUACCCCAUUGGAUCAAGUCAGAAGCCCAAGCCCUCAAGUAAAUAUGUCGCUGCCAGUGCAGAAAUGUUGAUUUCCAGGUUGACCUCGCGGAACGUAAAGUCAGUCACGUUUGCUUCAGUUCUUAAAACCCAAAGAAACUACUCGAUACUCGACCAAGUAAAUCAUGUUUUAGAAAGAAAGGUAUCGUUUCAAGUCUACUAUAGGCAUCAUCACAAUCUUGCUAUAUACAAAGAAAAUGAAGAAAACCUAUGUACAACUAGAUAGGUAAUGCUAGAAGUUAAAAUAUGGUCAUUUGUCGCCUGGAAUGUGUGGGAGUAUUCUUUUCAGUCAUUUGUCGCCACAUAAAAGAGUUGGUAGAUGCUAAUCAUCCAUGAAAUAAGGGGUAUGGUGCUGAAGAAAGGCAAGUUAGGUCGCCACGUGUAGAGUUUGAGUAGCUGCCCAACGCCUACAAGUCCAUUGACGGGUCAGCUGGUAACAAUCAAAUGUAGUGUGUUAUAGUUGUCAUAUUUGUUUUCUUAUAAAUUUUUUACAAAAACACAAAUUGAUGAAAUAUUUGGAAUACUUAUUGAUAGCUUUUUAAUAGCAUUAACACUAUUUCCUUUGUUUUGAAUGGGGCAAUUGGGGUGGGGAUGGACUUUGUGUGAUUCUUUUCCAGAUUACAGGGAUAGGCCAUAUUUCCAAACGAUGUAGGUUUCGUCUCCAAUUAGGUCGUCGCUAAGCCAUGUACCGAACUUGACCCAAGCCUCUGAAAUAAGGUGCCCCAUAGGAAAGGUUGCGUCCCAGAAAGAAAUGCGAGUCAGUCACAUGCUGUUGAUUUCCAGUUUAAACCAGUCUGCCUAAAGUUUGACUCUUGUCAAGGUUGUGAGUUUAAUGAAUGAAGAUUUUCCAAUAAAUGUGAUCAAGGAUAUUCUGAACUACUAAGCAAUGCAUUUGCAUUUGGUUAACAGAAGCGAAAUAUCGUUUGGGAUAAACUGGGUGGGGAAAGAAACUCUUCUCAAGUUUCCUUUCAGCAAUUUACCCCAUUGGAUCAAGUCAGAAGCCCAAGCCCUCAAGUAAAUAUGUCGCUGCCAGUCCAGAAAUGUCGAUUUCCAGGUUGACCUCGCGGAACGUAAAGUCAGUCUAAUGUUUGCUUCAGUUCUUAAAACCCAAAGAAACUACUCGAUACUCGACCAAGUAAAUCAUGUUUUAGAAAGAAAGGUAUCGUUUCAAGUCUUACUAUAGGCAUCAUCACAAUUUUGCUAUAUACAAAGAAAAUGAAGAAAACCUAUGUACAACUAGAUAGGUAAUGCUAGAAGCUAAAAUAUGGUCAUUUGUCGCCUGGAAUGUGUGGGAGGAUUCUUUUCAGUCAUUUGUCGCCACAUAAAAGGGUUGGUAGAUGCUAAUCAUCCAUGAAAUAAGGGGUAUGGUGCUGAAGAAAGGCAAGUUAGGUCGCCACGUGUACAGUUUGAGUAGCUGCCCAACGCCUACAAGUCCAUUGACGGGUCAGCUGGUAACGAUCAAAUGUAGUGUGUUAUAGUUGUCAUAUUUGUUUUCUUAUAAAUUUUUUACAAAAACACAAAUUGAUGAAAUAUUUGGAAUACUUUUUGAUAGCUUUUUAAUAGCAUUAACACUAUUUCCUUUGUUUGAAUGGGGCAACUGGGGUGGGGAUGGACUUUGUGUGAUUCUUUUCCAGAUUACAGGGAUAGGCCAUAUUUCCAAACGAUGUAGGUUUCGUCUCCAAUUAGGUCGUCGCUAAGCCAUGUACAGAACUUGACCCAAGCCUCUGAAAUAAGGUGCCCCAUAGGAAAGGUUGCGUCCCAGAAAGAAAUGCGAGUCAGUCACAUGCUGUUGAUUUCCAGUUUAAACCAGUCUGCCUAAAGUUUGACUCUUGUCAAGGUUGUGAGUUUAAUGAAUGAAGAUUUUCCAAUAAAUGUGAUCAAGGAUAUUCUGAACUACUAAGCAAUGCAUUUGCAUUUGGUUAACAGAAGCGAAAUAUCGUUUGGGAUAACCCGGGUGGGAAAGAAACUUCUCAAGUUUCCUUUCAGCAAUUUUCCCCAUUGGAUCAUGUCGGAAGCCCAAGCCCUCAAGUAAAUAUGUCACUGCCAGUCCAGAAAUGUCGAUUUCCAGGUUGACCUCACGGAAAGUAAAGUCAGUCAUGUUUGCUUCAGUUCUUAAAACUCAAAGAAACUACUCGAUACUCGACCAAGUAAAUGAUGUUUUAGAAAGAAAGGUAUCGUUUCAAGUCUACUAUAGGCAUCAUCACAAUCUUGCUAUAUACAAAGAAAAUGAAGAAAACCUAUGUACAACUAGAUAGGUAAUGCUAGUAGUUAAAAUAAGGUCAUCAUUUGUCGCCUGGAAUGUGUGGGAGGAUUCUUUUCAGUCAUUUGUCGCCACGAAAAGGUUUGGUAGAUGCUAAUCAUCCAUGAAAUAAGGGGUAUGGUGCUGAAGAAAGGCAAGUUAGGUCGCCACGUGUACAGUUGAGUAGCCGCCCAACGCCUUCAAGUCCAUUGACGGGUCAGCUGGUAACAAUCAAAUGUAGUGUGUUAUAGUUGUCAUCUUAUUUUUUUUACCAAAACCCAAAUUGAUGAAAUAUUUGGAUAACUUGUUGAAAGCUUUUUAAUAGCAUUAACAAUAUCUUUGUUUUGAAUGGGGCAAUUGGGGUGGGGAUGGACUUUGUGUGAUUCUUUUCCAGAUUACAGGGAUAGGCCAUAUUUCCGAACGAUGUAGGUUUCAUCUCCAAUUAGGUCGUCGCUAAGCCAUGUACCGAACUUGACCCAAGCCUCUGAAAUAAGGUGCCCCAUAGGAAAGGUUGCGUCCCAGAAAGAAAUGCGAGUCAGUCACAUGCUGUUGAUUUCCAGUUUAAACCAGUCUGCCUAAAGUUUGACUCUUGUCAAGGUUGUGAGUUUAAUGAAUGAAGAUUUUCCAAUAAAUGUGAUCAAGGAUAUUCUGAACUACUAAGCAAUGCAUUUGCAUUUGGUUAACAGAAGCGAAAUAUCGUUUGGGAUAACCCGGGUGGGAAAGAAACUCUUCUCAAGUUUCCUUUCAGCAAUUUUCCCAUUGGAUCAUGUCGGAAGCCCAAGCCCUCAAGUAAAUAUGUCAGUGCCAGUGCAGAAAUGUUGAUUUCCAGGUUGACCUCGCGGAACGUAAAGUCAGUCUUACGUUUGCUUCAGUUCUUAAAACCCAAAGAAACUACUCGAUACUCGACCAAGUAAAUCAUGUUUUAGAAAGAAAGGUAUCGUUUCAAGUCUUACUAUAGGCAUCAUCACAAUUUUGCUAUAUACAAAGAAAAUGAAGAAAACCUAUGUACAACUAGAUAGGUAAUGCUAGAAGCUAAAAUAUGGUCAUUUGUCGCCUGGAAUGUGUGGGAGGAUUCUUUUCAGUCAUUUGUCGCCACAUAAAAGGGUUGGUAGAUGCUAAUCAUCCAUGAAAUAAGGGGUAUGGUGCUGAAGAAAGGCAAGUUAGGUCGCCACGUGUACAGUUUGAGUAGCUGCCCAACGCCUACAAGUCCAUUGACGGGUCAGCUGGUAACAAUCAAAUGUAGUGUGUUAUAGUUGUCAUAUUUGUUUUCUUAUAAAUUUUUUACAAAAACACAAAUUGAUGAAAUAUUUGGAAUACUUUUUGAUAGCUUUUUAAUAGCAUUAACACUAUUUCCUUUGUUUGAAUGGGGCAAUUGGGGUGGGGAUGGACUUUGUGUGAUUCUUUUCCAGAUUACAGGGAUAGGCCAUAUUUCCGAACGAUGUAGGUUUCGUCUCCAAUUAGGUCGUCGCUAAGCCGUGUACAGAACUUGACCCAAGCCUCUGAAAUAAGGUGCCCCAUAGGAAAGGUUGCGUCCCAGAAAGAAAUGCGAGUCAGUCACAUGCUGUUGAUUUCCAGUUUAAACCAGUCUGCCUAAAGUUUGACUCUUGUCAAGGUUGUGAGUUUAAUGAAUGAAGAUUUUCCAAUAAAUGUGAUCAAGGAUAUUCUGAACUACUAAGCAAUGCAUUUGCAUUUGGUUAACAGAAGCGAAAUAUCGUUUGGGAUAAACUGGGUGGGGAAAGAAACUCUUCUCAAGUUUCCUUUCAGCAAUUUACCCCAUUGGAUCAAGUCAGAAGCCCAAGCCCUCAAGUAAAUAUGUCAGUGCCAGUGCAGAAAUGUCGAUUUCCAGGUUGACCUCGCGGAAUGUAAAGUCAGUCUAACGUUUGCUUCAGUUCUUAAAACCCAAAGAAACUACUCGAUAGUUGACCAAGUAAAUGAUGUUUUAGAAAGAAAGGUAUCGUUUCAAGUCUACUAUAGGCAUCAUCACAAUCUUGCUAUAUACAAAGAAAAUGAAGAAAACCUAUGUACAACUAGAUAGGUAAUGCUAGAAGCUAAAAUAUGGUCAUUUGUCGCCUGGAAUGUGUGGGAGGAUUCUUUUCAGUCAUUUGUCGCCACAUAAAAGGGUUGGUAGAUGCUAAUCAUCCAUGAAAUAAGGGGUAUGGUGCUGAAGAAAGGCAAGUUAGGUCGCCACGUGUACAGUUUGAGUAGCUGCCCAACGCCUACAAGUCCAUUGACGGGUCAGCUGGUAACAAUCAAAUGUAGUGUGUUAUAGUUGUCAUAUUUGUUUUCUUAUAAAUUUUUUACAAAAACACAAAUUGAUGAAAUAUUUGGAAUACUUUUUGAUAGCUUUUUAAUAGCAUUAACACUAUUUCCUUUGUUUGAAUGGGGCAAUUGGGGUGGGGAUGGACUUUGUGUGAUUCUUUUCCAGAUUACAGGGAUAGGCCAUAUUUCCGAACGAUGUAGGUUUCGUCUCCAAUUAGGUCGUCGCUAAGCCGUGUACAGAACUUGACCCAAGCCUCUGAAAUAAGGUGCCCCAUAGGAAAGGUUGCGUCCCAGAAAGAAAUGCGAGUCAGUCACAUGCUGUUGAUUUCCAGUUUAAACCAGUCUGCCUAAAGUUUGACUCUUGUCAAGGUUGUGAGUUUAAUGAAUGAAGAUUUUCCAAUAAAUGUGAUCAAGGAUAUUCUGAACUACUAAGCAAUGCAUUUGCAUUUGGUUAACAGAAGCGAAAUAUCGUUUGGGAUAAACUGGGUGGGGAAAGAAACUCUUCUCAAGUUUCCUUUCAGCAAUUUACCCCAUUGGAUCAAGUCAGAAGCCCAAGCCCUCAAGUAAAUAUGUCAGUGCCAGUGCAGAAAUGUCGAUUUCCAGGUUGACCUCGCGGAACGUAAAGUCAGUCUAACGUUUGCUUCAGUUCUUAAAACCCAAAGAAACUACUCGAUAGUUGACCAAGUAAAUGAUGUUUUAGAAAGAAAGGUAUCGUUUCAAGUCUACUAUAGGCAUCAUCACAAUCUUGCUAUAUACAAAGAAAAUGAAGAAAACCUAUGUACAACUAGAUAGGUAAUGCUAGAAGCUAAAAUAUGGUCAUUUGUCGCCUGGAAUGUGUGGGAGGAUUCUUUUCAGUCAUUUGUCGCCACAUAAAAGGGUUGGUAGAUGCUAAUCAUCCAUGAAAUAAGGGGUAUGGUGCUGAAGAAAGGCAAGUUAGGUCGCCACGUGUACAGUUUGAGUAGCUGCCCAACGCCUACAAGUCCAUUGACGGGUCAGCUGGUAACAAUCAAAUGUAGUGUGUUAUAGUUGUCAUAUUUGUUUUCUUAUAAAUUUUUUACAAAAACACAAAUUGAUGAAAUAUUUGGAAUACUUUUUGAUAGCUUUUUAAUAGCAUUAACACUAUUUCCUUUGUUUGAAUGGGGCAAUUGGGGUGGGGAUGGACUUUGUGUGAUUCUUUUCCAGAUUACAGGGAUAGGCCAUAUUUCCGAACGAUGUAGGUUUCGUCUCCAAUUAGGUCGUCGCUAAGCCAUGUACAGAACUUGACCCAAGCCUCUGAAAUAAGGUGCCCCAUAGGAAAGGUUGCGUCCCAGAAAGGAAUGCGAAAGUCAGUCACAUGCUGUUGAUUUCCAGUUUAAACCAGUCUGCCUAAAGUUUGACUCUUGCCUAGGUUGUGAAUUUGAAGAAAGCAGAUUUUCCUAUAAAUGUGAUCAAGGAUAUUGUAAACUAUUAAGUAAUGCAUUUGCAUUUGGUUAACAGAAUGGAGUUAUGGUUUGGGAUAACCAGGGUGGGAAAGAAAAGUGAAAGUUUAAUUUACAAAAGAUGUUUGAAUAUUGAUUAGUUAAGUUUAUGGUUUUGUUUGUUGCCUGGAAUGUGUUAAUUGGAUUCUUGCCUGGAAUGUGUUAAUUGGAUUCUUUUUAGUCAUUGGUUACCACAUGUUUGCUGAUAGAAGUCAAUCAUCCGUCAAAUAAGGGGUAUACAUGGUGGUGAAGAAAAGCAAGUAAGGUUGUGUAGGCAGCCAUCUAAUGCCCAGAAUGUAUAGACAGGACAGCUGUAAUAAUCCAAAUUUGUAUGUUGUGUUUAUAACACUGCAUUAUGUUUUCGUAUUUAUAAGUAUAUGUUCACCUUAUGAAAUAUUUGGAUUUUUUGUGAAGUGUUUUACAUAGUAUAAAGAUAAAGAUUUUUUUCAGUUUGAAUUGGGAGAUUGGGGUUGGGGAUGGAUUUUCUGUGAUUCUUUUCCAGGUUACAGGCCAUAUUUGAUGUAAAGUCGACACUAAGCCAUAUACUGAUCUGAACCUGACCCUCUGAAAUAAGGUGCCCCGAAGGAAAGGUGUGUCACAGAAAGAAUCAAGAGAUUCACAAGCUGUUGAUUUCCAAUUUAAACUAAUGAGCUUAAAGUUGCAUAUUUAUUUCUUGCCUAGGUUUUGAAAUUGAAUAGAGCAGAUGUUCAUUAAAUCUGAUGAUAUUGUAAACUACUUAGUAAUGCAGUGACAUUUUUUUUUUAUAUAAAAUGGAGAUAUUGUUUGGGUAAUGGUGUGAGAAAGAAACUCUUCUCAAGUUUCCUUUCAGCAAUUUUCCCAUUGGAUCAUGUUGGAAGCCCAAGCCCUCAAGUAAAUAUGACAGUUGCAGUCCAUAAAUCCUGAUUUCCAGGUUGACCUCACAGAACGCAUAGAAAAGUCAUUCUAACAUUUGCCUUAGUUUAAACAGGUAACAGAGUUUACCUUAGACUCGACCAAAUAAUGGUUGUUUUAGAAAUGUGUCCGUUGACAAAAGUAUUGAUUAAUUGUAUAAUGGACAAAAUAAAUUUGUAUAACUAUGUACCUGAUGAUAGAUAUAAUUAUGGUUUUGUUUGUUGCCUGGAAUGUGUUGUAGGAUUAUUUUCUGUUAUUGGUCACCACAUAAAAUCGUAACCUGAUGCAAUUAAAGUGAAUGGUGUUGAAGAAAAAAGCAAGUAAGGUCUUGUUGUGGACUGGUUGUGUAAGCAGCUGCCGUCCAUUUACCAAAAUCCAUAGACAGGUCAGCUGUAAUAAUCUGAAAUUGUAUGUUGUAUGUGUAAUGCUUUCCAUUAUAUAUUUCAUAUUUAUAAGGUAUAUGUACAACAUAUGGUUUAUUUGUUUUAAAAAGUUAAUAAAAAUUAUUUUUUUGAGUUGGGAUGGGGACAUUUGAGUUAGGGAGGGAUUUUCUGUGAUUCUUUUCCAGGUUACAGGGACAGGCCAAGUAGAUGUUCCUUCCAAUAAGGUCGUCGCUAAGCCAUGUACUGAACUAAUCCGACCCUCUAAAAUCAGGUGCCCUGUAGAAAGGUGUGACACAGAAAGAAUCAGGAGAUUCACAAGCUGUUGAUUUCCAAUUUAAACCAGUGAGCCUAAAGUUGCAUAUUUAUUUCACGCCUAGGUAGCGAAAUUAAUGAAAGAUGUCCUGAGGAUAUUUUAAAUACUAAGUGAUGCAUUUGCAUUUGGUUAACAGAAGGGAGAUAUCGUUUGGGGAUAAACUGGGUGGGGAAAGAAACUCUUCUCUAGUUUCCUUUCAGCAAUUUUCCCCAUUGGAUCAUGUUGGAAGCCCAAGCCGUAAAGUAAAUCUGUCCGUGCCGGGCAAAAAAUCCUGAUUUCCAGGUUGACCUCGCAGAACGUAUAGUUAAGUCAGUCUGAAGUUUUCCUUAGUUUUAACAGGUAACAGAGUAUACUUAACAAAUAAUGGUUGUUUUAGACAGAAAGGUGUUUUAGUCGACAAAAACAUUGAUCAAUUAUAUAAUGGACAGUAAACACUUGUGUAUAACUAUGUACCUGAUGAUAGUUAAAUAAUGGUUUUGUUUGUUGGCUGGAAUGUGUUGUAGGAUUAUUUUCAGUUAUUUGUCAUCUCAUGAAAUCCUUAGCUGAUGCAUAUCAAACAUCCAUCAAAUAAGGUGUAUGGUGCUGAAGACAAAAGCAAGUAAGGUCAUGUCGUGGACAGAUUUUGUCGGCUGCCAUCCACUGCCCAAAAUCCAUAGACCGGUCAGCUGUAAUAAUCUGAAAUUGUAUGUUGUGUGUGUAAUGCUUUCCAUUAUAUAUUUCAUAUUUAUUAGGUUUAUGCACAACAUAUUAAAUAGUUGGUUUAUUUGUUGUUAGUGUUUCACAUAGUAUUAAGAUUAAGAUUUUUUAAAGUCUGAAUGGGGACAUUAGGGUUGGGGAUGGAUUUUCUGUCAUUCUUUUCCAGGUUACUGGGACAGGCCAUAUUUGAUGUAGAUGUGCCUUCCAAUAAGGUCAUCGCUAAGCCAUAUACUGAACUUGAUCCGACCCUCUGAAAUCAGGUGCCCUGUAGGAAAGGUGGGACACAGAAUGAAUUGCGAGAUUCACAAGCUGUUGAUUUCCGAUUUAAACCAGUGAGCUUAAAGUUGCAUAUUUAUUUCAUGCUUAGGUAGCGAAAUUAAAAAUAUGUUUGAGGAUAUUUAAAACUACUAAGUAAUGCAUUUGCAUUUGGUUAACAGAAGGGAGAUAUCGUUUCGGGAUAACCUGGGUGGGAAAGAAAGUUUCCUUUCAGCAAUUCUCCCCAUUGGAUCAUGUUGGAAGCCCAACCCGUCAAGUAAAUCUGUCAGUGCCGGGCAAGAAAUCCUGAUUUCCAAGUUAACCUUGUACGAGUAAAUUGCAGACUAACGUAUUGUAUAAUCAUUCUAACCUUUGCUUCAGUUCAAACAGCUUAUCAAACUUACUCAAUACUUUACCAAGUAAAUGAUGUUUUAGAAAGAAAGGUUUGCUUUAAGUCUGGAGAUAUGAUAAUCAUGAUCUGUCUUAAAUAUAGAGAAAAAUAUAGAAUGCCUUCUUACAACUAGAUACUUUAUCAGUUAAGAUGUAGUCAUCACUUGUUUCCUGGAAUGUGUGGGAGGAUUCUUUUCAGUUAUUGUCCAAAGCUUGUUGAUGAUAAUCUUCCAUGAAAUAUGUGUAUGAUGCUGAGUAGAGCAAAGAAGGUCACCUGCCAGAGAGUUGCCGUCCAAUGCCCCAAUCUUUUGACAGGGAAGGCGGUAACAAUCAAAUGUAGUGUGUUAUGCUUGUAAUUAUUUGGUUUUCUUAUUUCUUACAGAAGCAUACAAAUUUAAGAAUUAAUUUGAUUAUUUGUUGAUAGCGUUCUAUCAUAGCAUUGACAAAUUUAUUUUCAUAGUUUGGAAUGGGGAUAUUGGGGUGGGGAUGGACUUUGUUAUUCAUUUCCAGACACUUAGCUAUGUACAGAACUUGGCCUAAGCCUCUGAAAACAGGUGCCCAGUUCCAAAGGUGUGUCAAGGAAAGAAAUGCGAAUGUCAGUUGUACAAGUGAAGAAAGCAGAUGAUCCAUUUAAUCUCAUCAAGGACAUUUCAAACCACUAAGUAAUGCAUUUACAUUUUAUUAAUAUAAGGGAGAUACCGUUUGGAUAUCCAGGGUGGGAAAGAAACUCUUCCAAGUUUACUUUCAGCAAUUUUCCUUAUUGGAUCAUGUUGGAGCCCAAGCCCUCAAGUAAAUCCGACAGUUCCAGUCCAGAAAUCCUGACCUGGUUGAUCUCGUACGAAUCAAUUGCAGAUGCAGAACAUAUUGUAAAGUUGGUCUAAUGUUUACCUCAAUCCUAAAAGCUAAACAAAUCUUUUCAAAGCUCUUCCAGGAAAAAAUGUUUACGAUGUUUUUGAAAGAAAGGCUUGCUUUAAGACUAUGACAGAUAUCAUGAAAAUCUUGAUCUGUAUAAUAUGCAAAAGAAAAUGAAGAAAACCUUUUACAACUAGUUAGGUAAUGAUAGUAGUUAAAAUAUGGUCAUUUGACGCCUGGAAUGUGUGGGAGGAUUCUUUUCAGUCACAGGUCUCAAGAUUUGUAGAUGCUGGUCGACCAUGAAAUAAGGGGUAUGAUGUUGAAGAAAGCCAGUAAGGUCAACUGCUGGAAUGUUAGUGUUGCUGUCCAAUGCCCAAGUCCAUAGACAGGGAAGGGGUAACAAUCAAAUGUAGUGCGUGUAUUGCUUUUCAUUAUAUUUUUUCUUAUUUAUUACAGAAACAUACAAAUUUAUGAAAUAAUUUGAUUAUUUGUUGAUAGCGUUCUAUCAUAGCAUUGACAAUAUUUUCUUGAUUUUGAAUGGGGCAGUUGGGAUGGGGAAGGACUUUCUGUGAUUAUUUUCCAGAUUACCGGGAUAUGCUCUGAUACUGAACGAUGUAGGAUUCGCCUCCAAGUAGGUCGUCGCUAAACCAUGUACCAAACUUGACCCAAGCCUCUGAAAUAAGGUGCUGCAUAAGAAAGAUUGCGUCCCAGAAAGAAAUGCUUAAGUCAGUCACAUGCUGUUGAUUUCCAGUUUAAACCAGUCAGCCUAAAGUUUGACUCUUGCCGAUGUUGUGAGUUUGAAGAAAGCAGAUUUUCCAAUAAAUGUGAUCAAGGAUAUUGUGAACUACUAAGUAAUGCAUUUGCAUUUGGUUAACAGAAGGGAGAUAUUGAUUGGGAUAACACGGGUGGGAAAGAAACUCCUCUCAAGUUUACUUUCAGCAGUUUUCCCCCAUUGGAUCAUGUUGGAGCCUAAGCCUUCAAGUAAAUCCGACAGUUCCAGUCCAGAAAGCCUGACCUUCUGGUUGAUCUCGUACGAAUCAAUUGCAGAUGCAGAACAUAUUGUUAAGUCAGUCAAAUGUUCGCUCAAUCCUAACAGCUAAACAAACUUUUUCAAGGAUCGAUCAAGUAAAUGAUGUUUUAGAGGUUUUUGAAAGAAAAGUUUGCUUAAAGACUUUGAUAGAUAUGAGAAUCUUGAUCUGUAUAUUAUGCAAAAGAAAAUAAAGAAUACCUAUUUACAACUAGUUAGGUAAUGAUAGUAGUUACAAUAUGGUCAUCACUUGUUGCCUGGAAUGUGUGGUAGGAUUCUUUUCAGUCACUGGUCUCCAGAUUUGUACAUGCUGGUCGACCAUGAAAUAAGUGUAUGAUGUUGAAGAAGGCCAGUAAGGUCACCUGCUGGAGAGUUAUUAUUGCUGCCCAAUGCCCAAGUCCAUAGACAGGGAAGGGGGUAACAAUCAAAUGUAGUGCGUGUAUUGCUUUUCAUUAUUUAUUUUCUUAUUUAUUACAGAAACAUACAAAUUUAUGAAAUAAUUUGAUUAUUUGUUGAUAGCGUUCUAUCAUAGCAUUGACAAUAUUUUCUUGAUUUUGAAUGGGGAAAUUGGGUUGGGGAUGGACUUUCUGUGAUUUUAUUCCAGAUAAGCGGGUACAGGAAUAGACCAUAAUUCUGAAUGAUGUUGAUUUCGUCUCCAAUUAGGUCGUAAUCUUUCAGCCAUGUACCGAACUUCAUUUCAAGCCUCUGAAAUAAGGUGCCCUGUUCCAAAGGUGUGUCCUGGAUAGAAAGGCGAAAGUCAAUUGUACGUGUCGAUUUCUAGUUAAAACCAGUGAGCCGAAAGCUGCAUUUUUUAUUUCUUUACUAGUUUGUGAAAGUGAAGAAAGCAGAUGAUCCAUUUAAUCUCAUCAAGGACAUUUCAAACCACUAAGUAAUGCAUAUGCAUUUUAUUAAUAUAAGAGAGAUACUGUUUGGGAUAUCCAGGGUGGGGAAAGAAACUCUUCUCAAGUUUACUUUCAGCCGUUUUCCCCAUUGGAUCAUGUUGGAGCCCAAGUAAAUGUGACAGUGCCAGUCCAGAAAUCCUGAACUUCUGGUUGAUCUCGUAAUCAAUUGCAGAUGCAGAACAUAUUGUAAAGGUCUAAUGUUUGCCUCAGUCCUAAAAGCUAAACAAACUUUUUCAAGGCUUGUUCAAGUAAAUGAUGUUUACGAUGUUUUUUGAAAAAAAAAACGCUUGCUUUAAGACUAUGACAGAUAUCAUGAUAAUCUUGAUCUGUAUAAUAUGCAAAAGAAGAUAAAGAAUACCUAUUUACAACUAGUAAGGUAAUGAUAUUAGUUAAAAUAUGGUCAUUUGACGCCUGGAAUGUGUGGUAGGAUUCUUUUCAGUCACUGGUCUCCAGAUUUCUAGAUGCUAGUUGACCAUGAAAUAAGGGGUAUGAUGUUGAAGAAAGCCAGUAAGGUCACCUGCUGGAGUUAGUGUUGCUGUCCAAUGCCCAAGUCCAUGGACAGGGAAGGGGGUAACAAAUGUAGUGUGUGUAAUGCUUUUUAUUACAUUUUUCUUAUUUAUUACAGAGACAUAGUUACAAGUUUAUGAAAUAAUUUGAUUAUUUGUUGAUAGCAUUCUAUCAUCACAUUGACAGUAUUUUCUUGAUUUUGAUUGGGGAAAUUGGGUUGGGGAUGGCCUUUCUGUGAUUCUUUUCCAGGUUAGCGGGUACAGGAAUAGAUCAUAAUUCUAAAUUAUGUUGAUUUCGUCUCCAAUUAGGUCGUCAUCGUCCAGCCAUGUACCGAACUUGACCCAAGCCUCUGAAAUAAGGUGCCCUGUUCCAAAGGUGUGUCAUGGAAAGAAAUGCGAAAGUCAGUUGUACUUGUUGGUUUCUAGUUAAAACCAGUGAGCCUUGAUUCAUUUUUAUUUCUUGCCUAGUUUGUGAAAGUGAAGAAAGCAGAUGAUCAAUUUAAUCUCAUCAAGGACAUUUCAAACCACUAAGUAAUACAUAUACAUUUUAUUAAUAUAAGGGAGAUACUGUUUGGGAUAUCCAGGGUGGGAAAGAAACUCUUCUCAAGUUUACUUUCAGCAAUUUUCCUUGUUGGAUCAUGUUGGAGCCCAAGCCCUCAAGUAAAUCCGACAGUUCCAGUCUAGAAAUCCUGACCUCCUGGUUGAUCUCGUAUGAAUCAAUUGCAGAUGCAGAACGUAUUGUAGAGUUGGUCUAAUGUUUGCCUCUGUCCUAAAAGCUAAACAAACCUUUUCAAAGCUCGUUCAAGUAAAUGAUGUUUACAAUGUUUUUGAAAAAAGGCUUGCUUUAAGACUAUGACAGAUAUCAUGAGAAUCUUGAUCUGUAUAAUAUGCAAAAGAAAAUGAAGAAAACCUUUUUACAACUAGUUAGGUAAUGAUAGUAGUUGAAAUAUGGUCAUUUGACGCCUGGAAUGUGUGGGAGGAUUCUUUUCAGUCACAGGUCUCAAGAUUUGUAGAUGCUGGUCGACCAUGAAAUAAGUGUAUGAUGUUGAAGAAAGCCAGUUAGGUCACCUGCUGGAGAGUUAGUGUUGCUGUCCAAUGCCUAAGUCCAUUGACAGGGAAGGGGGUAACAAUCAAAUGUAGUGCGUGUAUUGCUUUUCAUUAUUUAUUUUCUUAUUUAUUACAAAAACAUAAAAAUUUAUGAAAUAACUUGAUUAUUUGUUGAUAGCAUUCUAUCAUAGCAUUGACAAUAUUUUCUUGAUUUUCUUGAUCUUGAAUUGGGGCAAUUGGGAUGGGGAAGGACUUUCUGUGAUUAUUUUCCAGAUUACAGGGAUAUGCCCUGAUACUGAACUAUGUAGGUUUCGCCUCCAAUUAGGUUGGACCGAACUUGAUCCAAGCCUCUGAAUUAAGGUGCCCCAUAGCAAAGAAGUGUCACGGAAGGAAAUGCGAGUCAGUCAUGCGUGUUGAUUUCCAGUUCAAACCAGUGAGCCGAAAGCUGCAUUUUUUAUUUCUUGACUAGUUUGUGAAAAUUAAGAGAGCAGAUGUUCAAUUAGAUCUGAUUAGGAUAUUUUAAACUACUAAGAAUUGCAUUUUGUUAAUAGAAGGGAGAUAUUAUUUGGAAUAACAGGGGUGGGAAAGAAACUCUUCUCAAGUUUCCUUUCAGCAAUUUUCUCCAUUGGAUCAUGUUGAAAGCCCAAGCCUUCCAGUAAAUCUGACAGUUCCAGUCCAGAAAUCCUGAUUUCCAGGUUGAUCUCAUACGCAUAAAUUGCUUAGGCUCAAUUUAUUAAGGCAGUCAUAUCUUAGCCUUAGUUAUAACAGCUAACAGAAUUUACUGCAGACUCGACUUUUAGAAAGAUAAAUGUUAGUCUAUAAAAGAUUGUGUUAAAGUAGUGAUCAAUAUAUGAUAUUUAAUGUGCUAAGAAAAUUAAGAAAGAUCUGGUUUUUAGGUACCUAAAGUUCUUAUAAUGGUUUUGUUUGUUGCAUGGAAUGUGUUGUAAGACUCUUUUCAGUCAUUGGUCACCACCUAAACAGUUCGUAGAUGCAAGUCAAUCGUCCAUCAAAUGAUGUGUAUGGUGCUGAAGAAAAGGGAGUAAGGUCAUAUCAUGGAAAGUUUGAGUAACUGUUCAAUGUCCAAAUUAAGUUUACAGGUUAACCAGUAACAUUCAAAUGUAAUGUGUGUGACACUUGUCAUUAUUCCAAAAAAAAAAUAAUCAAUUACAUAGAUGUAUAACAUUGAUGAAAUAUUUGGAUUCCUUUUAGCUUUUUCUUUUAGUAUUAACAAUGAGAUUUUAUUAGUUUUGAAUGGGGUUAUUUGGGCGGGAUGGACUUUCAGAGAAUAUUUUUCAGAUUCAGGGGUUUGGCUGUAUGUUGAGGACAUUGUAGAUAUCGCUUCCAGUUGGGUCGUGGCUUAAGCAUGUACCAAACUUGACCAAAGCCUCUGUAAUAAGGUGACCUGUAAAAAUGUUGUGUUGCGAAAAGAAAUACGAAAUAAUUCACAUACUGUUUAUUUCCAUUUUAAACCAGUGUUCCUUCACUUGCAUGUUUGAUUCUUGCCUAGCUCAUUAAAAUCAGAUUGAGGUUUUGUAAAUUAUUGACUUCACUUGCCUAUUUGACUCUUAGCUUGUUAUAUCUUAGGAUAUUGUAAACUAUUGCAUUGGCAUCUUGAACGAAGGAAGAUAUCUUUUGGGAUAACCGGGGUGGGGAAAAAAAUCUCAAGUUUCCUUUCAGCAAUUUUCCCUCCUUUGAUCAUGUUGGAAGCCUAAGCCCUCCAGUUAAUCGUACAGUGCCAGGGGAGAAAUCCUGAUUUCCAGGUUGACCUCCUACAAAUAAGUUGCAGACGCAGAACGUAUUGUAGUCAGUUUGCUUAAGUAAUGACAGCUAAAAGAAUUAACGCAAGACACUUAACAAGUAGAUGAUUUUUCAGAAACAAAGGCUUUGUUAAAAAGUAUAAUAUAGACUUGAUCAAAAAAGUGAUCAAUAUAUUUUUUAUGAUGUGCUAUGAGAAAUAAAGAGGGUUUUGUUAUACUAGGCACUUAAUGAUAGUUGGGAUAUGUUUUUGUUUGUUGCUUGGAAUGUGUAAGAUUCUUUUCAGUCAUUGGUCACCACUUGGAAGAGUUUUUAGGUGCAAGUCAAUCAUCCAUUAAAUGAGGUGUAUGGUGCUGAAGAAAAGAGUAAGGUCAACUGCUUGACAGGUUGUGUAGCCAGCCACCCAAUGCCCCAAAUCCAUAGGCCGGUCACCUGUAAUAAUCGUAUGUAGUGUGUGCAACACUUCAUUGUUUUCCUAUUGAUUAUGUAUAUAUAUAUAUAUGUGUGUAUAAUGUAUGAAACAUUUGGAUAAGUUGUUUUCCAUGGUAUCGACAUUAAAAUUUUCUAAGGUUUUGGGUCGUAGGGGUGGGGUGUGGAUUUUCUGUGAUUUUUACAGAAUACAGGGGGAUUCCGGAAAUCCAGAGACCGGCCAUAAGUGAGAAUGAUGUAGAUGUCGCUUCUAAUAAGGUGCCCUGUAGGAACGAUGUGUCACAUAAUGGAAAAGUCAAGUCAAACGCUGUUGAUUUCCAAUUAAAACCAGUGAGCCAUAAGUUGUAUAUUUGAUUCUUGCCUAGGUCAUGAUUUUGAAGAAGGCAGUGGUUCAAUUAAAUCUGAUUAGAGUAUUUUGUAAAGUACUUAGUAAUUCAUUGGCAUUUUAAAAAUAGAAGGGAAAUAUUGUUUUGAGAUAAUUGGGGUGGGAAAGAAACUUCUCCAGUUUUCUUUCAGCAAUUUUCCCCAUUGGAUCAGGUUGGAAGCAAAUCUGACAGUGCUAGGGCCAGAAGUUACAAUUUCCAGGUUGAUCUAUAAGUGGCAUGAAUUGCAGAUGCAGAACACAUUGUACAGUCAGUCUGUUACUUUAGAUCUCCUAUAUGAAAUAUAGCUCAGUUGAGAAUAGAUGUUGGUAAAUAAAAGGACUAUUUAGAAGUUGAAUGACAUUUUAAAAAACUCUUGUAGCUUGAAUUACCUUUAAUAUUAAUUUAACCCUAACCCAAACUGUUCGUUGAGCUUGACAUUUCAGAUUUUGAUGGUAAAAAUCUUUUUUUAUGGCUUUUCUUACCUCUGAAACCUGUUACUACAUAUAUGUAUGUACAUCACUAGUGCACCGGUUGUAUUACUCGGGAUUUGUCUAUUUCAUGUUGCUUAUUGUGAAUUUGGAAAAGAGGUAUAUGAUUGCAUGAUGUUGCAUAAUGGUCUUCGUAAGGUUUUCCUCUUAAUUAUUGUAUUGAUGCGCAUAACCACUUUUAGAACUCCAUUUUGUUGCAUUAUAUUAAGUAAUUUAUAUUUUAAUGUUAUAUACCUGAUAGUACUUUGCAUAUAUGUGCAAUACAUAUUUGCUGUAUUGAAAUAAAGUUAUUUGCAUGUGGUAUAACAGAGCUUCCAUUUUGCAGCCUGGUAAGGCGUGAUUCCAUUUUUUUCACCAAGCUUUUCUUUAACAGUAGUUAAUACUCAUAGUAUACCAGUACCUUUUGUUAUAUCAGUGCAAUAUCUGCUCAAUGUUAUAUAGAGAAUGUAAUAUGAUGCAUAUGUGCCACCCACUGUCUGUACCUUUCUUGUUGCAAGAGCUAACAUAGUAACCAAAGUAUCCUUAUCCCUUUAGUUUUUUUUGAAGUAAAAUUUGAACAAAACUUGGGUAAUUGUUAAACAGAUUCAUUUUGAUUAUUGAUGAUUGUAAUUUACCUUUUAUGGGUACUAAUACUACUGACAUGAAAUAAAAUGUAUACACUAGAAGUACAUUUAGUAAUACUGAUGUUAGUAUCUCUGUGAUAGAUUCUAUGAAUAUAAAAUGAAUGUAAAAAUAUGUAUAAUGUUUUAAACACUUAAGAUAUAAUAGUGGUGUGUUCCCACUUUCCCAACCGCUAAUUUUCCUUUAAAAAUUGAGGUCGGGGUUGUUGUGUUCUGUUCUGUUCUGAUAUUGUUGGUUUAGUAUUGCACAUGUCACGUGGUGAUUAGGUUAUCAGUGAUGUUACUUUAAACAAUUAAAUCAAUUCUUGUUUAGCUUGGUUUUCUUUUUUUUUAAAUAAUAUUUAUAAGUGUUGGAAUGUGACUUGAGUUAGUUCCUUGAGCAUUGUUUUCAGUAAUGUUUACAUCUUGUGUUAUUCUUUAAAAUACUAUCCUAAUGUGAACACGUAUAACUAGCAUCUAUCCAGAAGUAAAUGAGCAUAAAUGUUCCUUGGUGUUUAUAGUAACUUCUACAUAGACAUGUUGAAUUUUGUGAAUAGGGCGUGUUCUUUGGCUUGUUUAUCAUUAACUUAGCCUACCUGACUUAUUGUCUUUGUUACUUUGAAUAAGUGCUUUAUCCAAUACAUAUGCUUGCUACAGAACAUUAGUUAUUUACCCAAAUAUCUUGCAAUUAGCUUUGGUUGAAUUAACUAAAUACUUAUUUAUCAAUGAGUCACAAAGGGUUUCUUUUAAGCAAAAUUCUUAUUUCAGAUAGUUUGGCAUUAUUUAUAUUCCUCUCUCCACAAGUGUGUUAUAAUUUAGUGAACAGUGUAUUUGUUAAUGGCUUAGCUUUAAGAAAUAUCAUUACUCAAGCAUACUAGAUUAAGUUUCUCCUCAGACUUGUAUUCGUCCUGCACCCAGUGUGUUACACAACUAUCAACCCAACUGGAAGUUUUGAGUAUUUAUUGCAAUUAAUUGUGUUAUAGCUGCUUUAACAACAGAAAACUUACCAUCAUUAUGAUUAACACAAGUUUUAAAAUAGAAUUGCACUUAAUCCAGAAAUCUGAUUUUAAGUAGACUGUAAUAUAAUUCUGUUUAAUUUAGAUAGUAUUUCUCAUUCAUGUAUACAUGAUACUUACAAUUUCAUGGUUUUACUGUUUGGUAUUUAGGAAAAGAAAGUUGGUUUGGUGUUCUUCUAUUUGUUGCAGAAUUAUUCAACAGUACCAAGUAAGACUAGCAAGACUGGAUAUUAAACCCAUAAUGAUUCAUUUGUUGCCUUGCACCCUUUUAACAAGUAUUUUGUUUUAUAAAUAUGGCAGUGUUAGAAUUACAUAUAUAUCACCUAAAUCUUAGUUUGUAAUGAGCAUUAUCUCAAACAAAAUACUUUUCUUAUUGUGUAUGAUUUUCACAAGCAUGCUGGAUUUUGGCUAGUUAUUGUUUCGCUGGUUCAUAAACUUCGCUUACAUAGUAAUUUCCAUUUCAAAGUGCUGAUAUAGUUAAUAGUAGGGGGUGAGAGUGGUAUAGGUGUCCUCCUCUCACCUGCCAGGGUUAGGUUAUCAUGGUCUCUCAAAAGGACACAGUACUGGUUUCUGCCCAGGAAAGGACUCCGAGUGAUUCUGUUUGCUCAGCUUUCGUCACCAUCGAGCUAAAAUAAAUAAGUAUAUAUACUUCCAUAUUUAAGAAAACAACAAUUUUCUCAAGUUUUAGUUGCUGUUACAGUUAAUUUUGUUACUGAUGUUCUUGCUAACCACAUCCAAUAUUAUGUUUUUCAUCUGAAUUAUAUUUAAUGUUUGUACCUGCCUGUUUUUAGUUGUGUCCUUUGACAGUAUUUCAGUAUAUAGUAUUUUUUUAUAUGGAUAAAUUAAUCUUAAGAUUAUCUACAUACACCCAUAUAGGUAGUGCUACAUCUCAUUUGAUUGUAUUCUAAGUGGUCUUUUUCUAGUUGCUGUGAAGAUUUUUAUUGGCUUAACUUUAAUAUCAUUAUAUUCAAGCACACUAGAUCACCUCUCAAUGGUAUUUAGUAUUAGACCCGUACGUAGAGUUUUACCCAGCUAUUAAUGGUUGCUUGAGGUCUGCUAUGAAAAUUGCAUUGGCUUUUGUUUAAUAUCAUUAUAUUCAAACACACUAUUUCACCUUCCCAUGGUAUUUUGUAUAAGACCUGUACAGAGGUACACUUUAACCCAACUACCAAUGUAACUGGCAAGUUUGAAUGUUUCUAUGGUGAUUAACUAUGUUAUUGGUGCUUUAACAAUAGAAGACUUUAAAGAACAUAAGCUUAUAUUAUAAUUUGCUUGAGAAUAAAAUUACUCUUUGAAAUAUUAUUAUGACUGUAAUAGAAUUUUGUUUAACUUCGUUCGUAUUUCUCGUACAUGUAUAGUUGAUAUUGAAAAAUCAUGGUUUGACUAUAAUUUAUUCAGAAAAAGAAAGUUGGUUUGGUUUUGUGUUGUUGUUUUCGUUACAGAAUUGCACAAUGGAAUUCAGUAAGAUUUCAUAACCCAUAACUUAUUUGCUGCCUUGCACUCUGUUCGCAAGUAUUUUGUUUUCAAAUAUGGCAAUGCUAGAAUUACAUAUUGUCCAAAUAUUAGUGUUAAGAAUUAUGAGCAUUAUUUCAAACAAAAUACUUCCUUUUCAUAUUGUGUGUGAUUUUUCACAAGCAUGCUGAACUUUGACUAGUUCUUUAACUUGGUUAACUUGGUCUUAUUUCCAUUUCACAGUGUUAACAUAGUAAAUAGUUCUUUACACAGCUUUAAUUAAAAAAAAUCUAUCAAACUAAUGUGAAAUAAUUGCCUACAGUUCAUUUUGUGACUGAUGUACAUUUUACUAUCUAACCACUUCCAAUAUAUAUUGUGAUUUGUCGUCAGAAUUAUCUUAUUAACUGUUUGUACCCAAGGUGUUAACUUCUGUCUUUUGGCAGUAUUUUAGUAUUUAUUUUUAUCUGAUUUGGAAUUGUUCUAAAGAUUGUCUACAUGCACCCAUAUAGUAGUUGCUACAUUUAAUACUAAUUUCUGUGUGUUAUUUUAAGUGGUCUUUUCUGGUUGCUUGAAGUUGAUUAUGAAGAAUGUAAUACUGGUGCUUUAACAAUUUAAAACUGCUAUCAUUAUCAAAAACGCAAGCUUUCAUGAUAAUUUGCUUGAGAAUAAAAUUGCACUUGUUAGAUUAUUAUAUGUGAGACAAUUAUAUGUGAUAUAUUUCGAUUUUCUCGUACAUGUAAACUUGUAAAUUCAUGGUUUAACUGUAACAAGUUCAGAAAAAGAAAGUUGGUUUGGUUUUCCUUUGGUGUUUUUGUUACAGAUUUAAAAAAACAGAAGCCAGUAAGAUUUCAUUACCCGUAAUGUAUUCGCUGCUUUGCACAAAGCUUGCAAGUAUUUUGUUUUCAAAUUGAAAAUGCUAGAAUUACAUAUUGUUGAAGUAUGUUAUGAAUUAUGAGCAUUAUUUCAAACAAAAUACUUCCUUUUCAUAUUGUGUAUUAUUUUCACAAGCAUGCUUGAUUUUGACUAGUUCUUUAACUUGGUUAACUUGGUCUUAUUUCCAUUUCACAGUGUUAAUAGUUCUUUACACAGCUUUAAUUAAAAAAAUCUAUCAAACUAAUGUGAAAUAAUUGCAUACUGUUCAUUUUGUGACUGAUGUACUAACUAACCACUUCCAAUAUUGUGGGUUUUUUUGUCUGAAAAAUCUUUUUAACUGUUGGUAUCUUAGGUGAAAAAUAAUGUUUUUGACCGUCUUUUAGUAUUAAAUCUGUUCUGAUUUGGUUAAAUUAAUCUAAAGAUUGUCUAUAUACACUGAUAUAUGUGUUGCUACAUCUCAUUAGAUUGUGUUCUAGUCUAAGUGGUCGUUUCUAGUUGCCGUGAUGAAUUUCAUUGGCUUACCUUUAAUAUCAUUAUAUUCAAGCACACUUGAUCACCUUCCAAUGGUUCUUAGUAUUAGACCUGUACACAUAGUUUUACCCAACUAUUAAUGGUUGCUUGAGGUCUGCUAUUAGAAUUAUAUUGGCUGAACUGUAAUAUUAUAUUCAAGCACACUUGAUUAUUUUCCCAUGGUACUUUGUAUUAGACCUUUACACUUUGUUUUACCCAACUACCAAUGCAACUUUCAAAUUUGAAUGUAUAAGCUUAAAUAGCUUCUAUGGUGAUUAACUGUGUUAAUGGUGCUUUAACAACAGAAGAGUUGCUAUCAUUAUAAAGUAAAUAAACUUAUAUUAUAAUUUGCUCGAGAAUACAAUUACUUCUAUAAUUUUUAAAUGACUGAUAUAUUUUUGUUUAAUUAGUUUUUAAAUAGUAUUUCUCAUACAUGUUAAGUGGAUAUUGAAAAAUCAUGGUUUUUCUAUAAUUUAUACAGAAAAGGAAUGUUGGUUCGGUUUUGUGUUGUUGUUUUCGUUACAGAAUUAUACAACGGAAUCCAGUAAGAUUUCAUAACCCAUAACUUAUUUGCCGCCUUGUACUCUGUUUCCAAGUAUUUUGUUUUCAAAUAUGGCAAUGCUAGAAUUACAUAUUGUCCAAAUAUUUGUGCUAAGAAUUAUGAGCAUUAUUUCAAACAAAAUACUUCCUUUUUAUAUUGUGUGAUUUUUCACAAGCAUGCUGGAUUUUGGCUAGUUCUUUAACUUGGUCUAUUUUCCAUUUCACAGUGUUAACAUAGAUAAACAUAGAUAACAUUUCUUUACACAGCUUUAAUUAAAAAAAUCUUUCAAACAAAAGAGAAAUAGUUACCUACAGUUCAUUUUGUGACUGAUGUACUAACUUAACACUUAAAAUAUUUUGAUUUGUCGUUGGAAUUAUCUUAUUAACUGUUUGUACCCAAGGUGUAAACUUGUGUCUCUUGGCAGUAUUUUAGUAUUUAUUCUUAUCUGAUUUGGAAUUGUUCUAAAGAUUGUCUACAUGCACCCAUAUAGUAGUAGUUGCUACAUCUAAUUCAAAUUUCAUUGUGUUCGAUUCUAAGUGGUCUUUUCUGGCUGCCGUGAAGAAUUUCAUUGGCUUUUAAAACUUUAAUAUCAUUAUAUUCAAGCACACUUGAUCACCUUCCAAUGGUACUUUGUAUUAGACGUGUACACUAGAGUUUUACCCAACUAUUAAUGGUUGCUUGAGGUCUGCUGUGAGAAUUUCAUCGGCUUAGUUUUAAUAUCAUUAUAUUCAAGCAAACUUGAUCACCUUCCAAUAGUACUUUGUAUUAGAUCUGUAUGCAUUUGUUUUACUCAACUAUUAACAUGCAAGUUUGAAUGUGUUUAAGCUUAAAUAGCUUCUAUGGUGAUAAACUUAACUAUGUUACUUGUUCUUUAACAACAGAAAACUUGAUAUCGUUAUAAAGUACAUAAGCUUUCAGGAUAAUUUUGCUCGAGAAUAAAAUUGAAUUUAAGCCUUUUAAAUGACUAAUAUAAUUCUAUGUAAUCAAGUUAGUAUUUCCCGUACGUAUACUAGUUGUUACAAAUUCAUGGUUUAACUAGAAAAAGCAAGUUGGUUUGGUUUUCUCUUGUUGUUUUCGUUACAGAAUCAGAAUCCAGUAAGAUUUCAUAACCCAUAAUUUAUUUGCUGCCUUGCACAUUGCUCACAACUAUUUUGUUUUUAAAUAUGGGAUGCGAGAAGUACAUUGUUACUUAUAUACACAUAUUGUGGAAAUAUUAGUGUGUUAUGAAUUAUGAGCAAAUUCAAACAAAAUACUUCCUUUUCAUAUUGUGUAUGAUUCCACAAGCAUGCUGGAUUUUGGCUAGUUCUAUAACCUGGUCUAAUUUCCAUUUCACAGUGUUAAUAUAGUUGAUUGUUCUUGACACAGCUUUGAUAAAAAAUCCUAACAAACUGGAGUAAAAUAGUUGCUGUUACAGUUCAUUUUGUGACUGAUGUUCUUAAUAACCACUUCCAAUAUUGAUUAACUACAUCUAAAUUAUCUUAACUGUUUGUACUAUAGGAGAAAAGUAAUGUCUUUGAAGAAUUUCAGUAUUAAGCUUUUUUCUGAUUUGUAUAGAUUAUUCUAUAGAUUGUCAACAUACACCCAUAUAUGUGAUGCUACAUCUCAUUAGAUUGUGUUCUAUACUAAGUCACCUUUCCCGUUGCUUAAAGUUGAUUAAGAAGAAUGUGUUGCUGGUGCUUAAGCAAUUUAAAACUGCUAUCAUAAUCAAGUACACAAGCUUACAAUGGUAAUUUGCUUAAGAAUAAAAUUGCACUUCUUACGUAUCUCUCUGUAAUGUAUUUCGAAUUCCUCAUACCUGUUUACUGGAUAUUUGUUCGCUCAUUUUUUUACUGUAACAUAUUAGGAAAAAGAAAGUUGGUUUGGUUUUGUGUUGUUGUUUUCGUUACAGAAUUAAACAACGGAAUCGAAUCGAGUAAGAUAUCAUUACACAUAAUUUAUUUGCUGUCUUCCCGUAGUUUAUUCGCUGCCUUGCACACUGCCUACAAGUAUUUCGUUUUUAAAUCUGGCUAUGUUAGAAUUACAUAUUGUAUAAAUAUAAGUUUAAUGAUUUAUGAGCAUUAUUUCAAACAAAAUACUUCCUUUUCAUAUUGUGUAUGAUUUUCACAAGCAUGCUGGAUUUUGACUAGUUAUUUAACUUGGUUAACUUGGUCUUAUUUCCAUUUCACAGUGUUAAUAUAGUUAAUAGUUCUUUACACAGCUUUGAUAAAAAAAUCCUAUCAAACUUAAUUAAAAUAGUUGCUGUUACAGUUCAUUUUGUGACUACUAACCACUGCCAAUAUUGUGUUAUGAUGUUUAAAAUAUCUUAUUGACUGUUCGUACCUCGUAAAAAAAUGGUGAAAGGUGAAAAAUAAUGUCUUUUGACAGUAUUUCAGUAUUAUACUAUUUAGUCUCUUCCGAUUUGGUUAAUCUCCAGAUUGUCUAUAUACACCCAUUAUGUAGUUGCUACAUCUCCUUAUAUUGUGUUCUCUUUUAAAGUGGUACUUUCUGGUUGCUUGAGGUAUGUUGUGAAGAAUGUGUUACUGGUGCUUUAACUAUUAAAAACUUGCUAUCAUUAAAAAGUACAUAAGCUUACAUGGUAAUUAACUUGAGAAUGAAUUUGCACUUGUUAGAUAAUUAUAUGUGAGGUAUUAAGAUUUUCUUACUCAUCUAUACUGGAUAUUGUAAAUCCAUGGUUUGACUAAAAUGUAUUCAGAAAAGGAAUGUUGGUUCGGUUUUGUGUUGUUGUUUUCAUUACAGAAUUAUACAACAGAAUCCAGUAAGAUUUCAUAACCCACAACUUAUUUGCUGUCUUGCAUAUUGCUCACAAGUAUUUUGUUUCCAAACUUGCCAAUGUUAGAAUAACAUGUUAUUUAAAUAUUUGUUCUUAAAGAAUGAUGAGAAUUAGUUCAAACAAAAUACUUCCAUUUUAUUGUAUGUGACUCGCACAAGCAUGCUGGAUUUUGGCUAGUCCUUUAACUUGGCUUACAUAAUAAUUCCCAUUUCAGUGUUAAUAUAGUUAAUAGUUCUUUACACAGUUUAUCAAUGAACCUUUACAGUUCUGUUACCGAUGAACUUACUUCUAAUCACUUCAAAUGUUGUGUAUUUACAUCUCAAUUAACAUUACUGUUUGUACCUGGCUGUUUUUAGUAAGAAAGACAAAAAAAUGUCUUUUGAAAGCACUUACUCUGUAUCUAAAAAUGUCUUCAUUCAGCAGUAUAUGUAGUUGCUGUAUUCUAAGUGUGUUUUUCUGGUUGCUUGAGGUAUGUUGUGAAGAAUUUCAUUGGCUUAGCAUUAAUAUCAUUAUAUUCAAGCACAAUUGAUAACCUUCCCAUGGUUUUUUGUAUUAGACCUGUACACAAGAGUAUUUUCCAACUAUUAAUGCAACUUAGAAGUUUGAAUGUGUAUUGGCUUAAAUAGCUUCUAUGGUGAUUUACUAAGUCACUGGUGCUUUAACAACAGAAAACUUGCUAUCAUUAUAAAGUAUAGAAGCUAUUCCUGAUAAUUUGCUUUAUAAUAAAAUUCCACUUAAGGUGGCUGUUGUUUAUAGACCUUUUAGAUAAUUCUGUGUAAUUGAUAUUUACUAAAUCUUGUUCAAUAAACCUGAAGAUAAGUCUUUGUAACCGGUAUUUACUAUUGCUUUGAUAAUUCUGUAUAAUUGGUAUUUACUAAAGCAUGUAUGCUGAAUAUCCUAAUAUUCAUAAUUCAACUUUCGUAAUUUCUUCAGAAGAAAUUGGUUUUGUUUUCCCCUUUGUUUUCAUUACAGAAUUAAACAAAUCAGGAACAUGUAAGAGUGUUUAAACCAGAAGGAUUUGUGUAGCCCAUAUGAUACAUGUGUUGCCUUGUUAGAAUUACAUAUUGUUUAAAUCUUAGUUUAUGAGCAUAUGUUAAACAUUUCUUGUUUAAACAAAACAUUGUGUGUGUUUUACACAAGCAUGCUUGAUAUUAUUAGCUUGUUCUUGGUCAUUUACUUGGCUUACAUAUUCCCAAUUCACAGUAUAAUAUAGUUGCUAGUUCUUCCCACAGUUACUUGUUUUUCAAAUAGUUUCUCUAUGUAUUCUAUGGCGAGGAUUAAAAUGAAUAAGUUCUUUAUUAAAAUGGUAAACAGUUUGCUGUUAGCGUUCAUUUUGUUACUGUGCACUUGCUAAUAACCACUUCCUACAGUGUUUACAUUGUUAAUUCAUCUGAAUUAUCUUUACUGUUUGUACCUGGCUGGUUUUAGCUUAGGAGAAGAGUUAUGCCUUAUCAUAGUAUUUUGUCUUCUCAUUUGGUUAAAUUAAAUCAUAGAUUAUCUCUCCAUAUUCCAUAGAUGUAGCUGUAUCUAAUUUCAAUGUGUUUCAUUAAAAGUGGAUUGUUAAUCUUGGUUUUGCAUUUUCUGAUUGCUUAACCUCUUCUGUGAAGAAUAAUAUAUAUACAUAUUACAUAACAUAAAGACAUAAAAACGAUCUGACAGUAUUUUGUCUUCUGAUUUGGUUAAAUUCAUUGAAAGAUUAUCUUUAUAUACUCCAUAGAUGUAGCUGUGUAUCAUUUCAAUGUGUUCUAUUAAAAUUUCAAUGUGUUCUAUUAAAAGUGGAUUGUUUAUCUUGGGUUUGCUUUUGAUCUGAUUGCUUAACCUCUUCUGUGAAGAAUAAUAUGUAUUACAUAUUGUAAAGACAUAAAAACAACCCGAUUCAUAGCUUGUUGAACGUAUGGAUUUCAUUUGAGUGAUUGUUACUAUUGUGCUCAUAAAGUUUCUGUAACAUAAGGCAUAUACUGCCUGCAUGUUUCUCCAGCUUUAUUACAGAUCUUCGCUUAUUAGACAGCUUCCGGUGCAUUGUACCCACAGACAUCACAGCUUCAAGAGAGAGGAAAGCACACACCGAGAGGGAAAUAAGAUAGAUAUGCAAAGCAAGUGUAGUAUAUAGCCAUUUAGGGACAUAUUUCAUGUUUGGGUUUCCAAUCUUUUACAGUCAGGGGGGUGAGUAAACACCCUUUAUGCUGGUCUUGAGCCUCGGGAAAUCCUACCUCCCCCUCCCUCAGGGAGUUAGGGUUGGGUAGCCCGCUCGCAGUUUUUUACCUGACUUUUCGGCCUCAAAAACUGUUCGUUCAAAAAUCUUCCAUUUAGGAUGGAGAGCACAAUAAAUUUGUAAGCAAUUUUAUGAAUAUAAGAAAUUUAAAAAUGUAGUCAUGUAUAAACAUUGUAUUUAAAACCUUAAUAAGAUUCUGUAACCUCUCUUAAUUGAUUAUGGAAAUUAAAUGUAUUUGCAGUGUAUUAUAGAAAUAGAAUAGUAAAAGAUCAGUACAUACUUGCAGUAAAUGUUAUUACGAAUUUCAGCACAUCUUUAUUUUCUUACUAGUAUCACAAACCCAUAGUAUUAAUGUGCAAAUGUAUGUAUUUAUUUCUGUUAAGUUUGUCAUUUAUUUCUGUUAAGUUUGUCAAUGAAAGCUGAAUUUAUAGGGACUGUAAAUGGUAGAUCAUCUUUACAUGUAUUAAUUCUGAUAAUCUUGUAAACAUGUUAUAUAGUUACUCAGUAUAAAGAAACUAACAUGUGCUCUCCGAAAAGUUUUUUUUUUUUAAACUUUUGUAACCAUAAGUGCUAUUUUAUAAAGUACUAUUUUAUAACUUGUUAUAUUAUUAAAAAAAUCAAUAAAACUUUAUUAGGCCUA